rnacentral:rRNA from 1 species
AUAACGACUCUCGGCACCCGAAACCCAUCGAGUCUUGGAACCCAAGUUGCGCCCGAAACCUCUGGUCGAGGGCACGUUUGCCUGGGUGUCACA